rnacentral:rRNA from 1 species
AACGAACGCUGGCGGCAUGCCUAACACAUGCAAGUCGAACGAGACCUUCGGGUCUAGUGGCGCACGGGUGCGUAACGCGUGGGAACCUGCCCUUAGGUUCGGAAUAACUCCCCGAAAGGGGUGCUAAUACCGGAUAAUGUCUUCGGACCAAAGAUUUAUCGCCUUUGGAUGGGCCCGCGUUAGAUUAGCUAGUUGGUAGGGUAAAAGCCUACCAAGGCGACGAUCCAUAGCUGGUCUGAGAGGAUGAUCAGCCACACUGGGACUGAGACACGGCCCAGACUCCUACGGGAAGCAGCAGUGGGGAAUAUUGGACAAUGGGCGAAAGCCUGAUCCAGCAAUGCCGCGCGAGUGAUGAAGGCCUUAGGGUUGUAAAGCUCUUUUACCCGGGAUGAUAAUGACAGUACCGGGAGAAUAAGCUCCGGCUAACUCCGUG